CGAUGAUGCCCAGCUUGCUGGGUGGAUUAGUGGCGAACGGGUGAGUAACACGUGAGUAACCUGCCCCUGACUCUGGGAUAAGCGUUGGAAACGACGUCUAAUACUGGAUACGACUGCCGGCCGCAUGGUCUGGUGGUGGAAAGAUUUUUUGGUUGGGGAUGGACUCGCGGCCUAUCAGCUUGUUGGUGAGGUAAUGGCUCACCAAGGCGACGACGGGUAGCCGGCCUGAGAGGGUGACCGGCCACACUGGGACUGAGACACGGCCCAGACUCCUACGGGAGGCAGCAGUGGGGAAUAUUGCACAAUGGGCGAAAGCCUGAUGCAGCAACGCCGCGUGAGGGAUGACGGCCUUCGGGUUGUAAACCUCUUUUAGUAGGGAAGAAGCGAAAGUGACGGUACCUGCAGAAAAAGCACCGGCUAACUACGUGCCAGCAGCCGCGGUAAUACGUAGGGUGCAAGCGUUGUCCGGAAUUAUUGGGCGUAAAGAGCUCGUAGGCGGUUUGUCGCGUCUGCUGUGAAAUCCCGAGGCUCAACCUCGGGCUUGCAGUGGGUACGGGCAGACUAGAGUGCGGUAGGGGAGAUUGGAAUUCCUGGUGUAGCGGUGGAAUGCGCAGAUAUCAGGAGGAACACCGAUGGCGAAGGCAGAUCUCUGGGCCGUAACUGACGCUGAGGAGCGAAAGCGUGGGGAGCGAACAGGAUUAGAUACCCUGGUAGUCCACGCCGUAAACGUUGGGCGCUAGAUGUAGGGACCUUUCCACGGUUUCUGUGUCGUAGCUAACGCAUUAAGCGCCCCGCCUGGGGAGUAC
rnacentral:rRNA from 1 species